UAACCAGACUCCUACGGGAGGCAGCAGUGGGGAAUAUUGGACAAUGGGGGGAACCCUGAUCCAGCGACGCCGCGUGAGUGAAGAAGUAUUUCGGUAUGUAAAGCUCUAUCAGCAGGGAAGAAAGAAAUGACGGUACCUGACUAAGAAGCCCCGGCUAACUACGUGCCAGCAGCCGCGGUAAUACGUAGGGGGCAAGCGUUAUCCGGAUUUACUGGGUGUAAAGGGCGUGUAGCCGGGUUGACAAGUCAGAUGUGAAAUCCUGCGGCUUAACCGCAGAACUGCAUUUGAAACUGUUGAUCUUGAGUACUGGAGAGGCAGACGGAAUUCCUAGUGUAGCGGUGAAAUGCGUAGAUAUUAGGAGGAACACCAGUGGCGAAGGCGGCCUGCUGGGCUUUUACUGACGCUGAGGCUCGAAAGUGUGGGGAGCAAGCAGGAUUAGAUACCCCAGUACG
rnacentral:rRNA from 1 species